UUCACCUGCUCGGGAGAGCGCCUUCCAGGCCCUAAUAGCCUUUUCAUCUGAUUCAGAACUACUAAGAACUGGCUCCUUGAGCUCAUCUAGUGAUGAGUAUAGGCUCCUUCUCCUAGAAACCUCCGCUGAUUGAUCUUUUUUCUUUUCUUUUUCCUUCUCCUUCCUUCUAAUCUCUCCCCAGGUAUUCUUACCUGACCUUAACUUUUCCUCAGGUUCAAGACCCGUGGAAAGGCCUGUAUACUUAUUUUGUGAACCAUAUUUCCUCUUUGCUCCUACUCUCUCUCCCCGCUUUACUUCUGAUAGAUUGCCCUGAAUUUCAUCCAGAAUUUUCAGCCCUGCCUUAACCGCUUGAUAACAUGUGAAAAGGAACAAAAAGGCUCCUAACACUAGAAAAAGUUCAAGGCCAAACAUACCUUGUAAAGCUAUUUCCCACUUUACUUCUGAUAGACUGUCUUGAAUUUCGUUAGAAAGUUCAAGGCCAGGCGUACCUUGUAAAGCUAUUUCCCACUUUACUUCUGAUAGACUGUCUUGAAUUUCGUUAGAAAGUUCAAGACCAGACUUACCUUGUAAAGCUAUACUUACGGGUACCCUGUUCCCCAGCUGAAGAGUUCUGAAUUCACGCAGUUGAAUCCUUCUCAACAGUCUGUUUUACGGGAACACUUCAUUACCACCAUUCCCCAGCUGAAGAGUUCUGAAUUCACGCAGUUGAAUCCUUCUCAACAGUCUGUUUUACGGGAACACUUCAUUACCACCGUGACCCGCAGUUCUGGUUCCGGAAUGAGGGAUCUUCCUUGCGCCGGUGAUGGUAACCGUCCAGGGUUUUCUUGUCCCGGGUUUUUUCGUCCCAGGUCUUCUCGUCCCGGGUCUCAGCACCAACUCUUACACGCGUUCUCGCGACCGGCCAGGAAGAACGCAACAAACCAGAAUCUUCUGCGGCAAAACUUUAUUGCUUACAUCUUCAGGAGCAAGAGUGCAAGAGCAAAAGCAAGAGAGCAAAGGAGAGAAUGGCGAAACCCCGUCCCUUUUAAGGAGAAUUAUUCUCCGCCUAGGACGUAUUACUCCUUGAUUGGCUGCAGCCCAUCGGCUGAGUUGUCGUCACGGGGAAGGCAGAGCACAUGGGGUGGAGAACUACCCUUGGCACAUGCGCAGAUUAUUUGUUUACCACUUAGAACACAGGAUGUCAGCGCCAUCUUGUAACGGCGAAUGUGAGGGCGGCUCCCCACACCUUAACCCCCUUUUCACCCUGAAGGGAUUGGCUUUUCAAACAUGGUGCCAAGGGUUGAACCUAGGGCCUUGUGUAAGCAGAGUGAGCCCUGAGGCUUCUCUGACGAUGUUUGAAGACUAUUACUGUUCCUAUUAUGGGCUUUUGAGAUUCACUUUGUAGUUCAGGUGAUGCUCUUGCCUUAGUCUCCCAAGCACUUGGGUGAUGAGCCUAAGUCACCAUGCCAGACUUCACAGUGAACAAUGAUUCAGGAAUGUGGUAUGGGGUUAAAAAAAAAUGUAAUGAGCACAUAGAGCCACAGGGAAAAGCAAGGCACAUUUUUAUGGGGUCAAAGUUGAGUUGAAGAUGGUAUGUAGGUCAACAGACAAGGAUGCACUUAGAGUGUUUGCUCAAGGCCUGGGUUCAAGCUCUACUACAACAAGGAGAAAGAAGUAAGACAUGAUGGGGGCAGGGCAGGACAGACCACAUUGAGUUUAAAUUAUUAAGCCAGUUAUCCUGGUGGACAUUUCAAAGUAAGGCUGUGGCGUGGUUAUUUCUAGUUACUUUUAGCCAGGCUUGCAUUGGGGGAAAAAAGGGGGAACUAAAUAAAACUAGGUUUGUAACACUUGCAGAUUUUCAGAAAUGCUAAUGUCCAUUUGGGACUAAGGGUGGUAUGGUUUCUGGAGAGAUUAGCAUUACUAAACAGAAGGGAAAUACUUUGCAUUUGGACAACAGGAAAGAUAAAUGGAGCUUCUCAGGGACUAGGCCACGCCCUGUGUAGCGGGCUUGCCUUUGAGGAGAGAAGACCUGCAAGGUGGCCUGUUUGUACAGAACUCAGGUCUCAGGCUUAUCUCUGCUCUCAGAGGCUGCUGCAGCCGUGUCCCAAGGGGGUCUGGAAAGCCACAUGUAGUGAUGCACACCUCUGAUAAGUGAGUUCUAAGGUCAGCCUGGUCUACAUAGUGAGUUCCAGGCCACCCAGUGCCUCAUGGUAAGGUUGUGUCUCAAAAACAGCACAAAAUACCACCAUCAUAGCCAACACCUCCACCACCACCACCAUAACAAUGACUGAAACCCCCAAGGAGGCUGGAUAGGGUUGCGUCUAUUGGGUAUUAUCCACAUUGUAACAGUUGCUUGUGUUGCAGGCAUACAGAAUGCAAGAGUUAGAAAAUCAUAGGGACUUCCAAACAGAUUCCAAAGGAAAGCCUUGGAGGCCUAGUGAUGUGUAAGGAAGUCAGAAACCCUAGCCCCCAAGAGAGAUGGUAGUGAAGGUGUGAAGGUGAAACCUAACUGGGAAUUGAUACCCCGGGGUGUUAAGAUGCCAGGUACAUGAACUGUCUGUCAAGACAGGCCACAGACAAGGAGGGGACCCAUGUGUGAAGAGGACCAUAUGGGCUGUAAACAGCAAGGCUAUAUGGAAGUGCUUGCUCAGACCUAUUGCAGCUCAGCCACAGAACCACAAGCUCCGUUCGCGAGCCUCUGUCCUGCUGGAUUUGGUACAGCUUUGGCCCAGCACUUCCUUCCUGGUCUUCUCUUCUUCCCUGUGAUGGUUUAAAUGAGAAAGGUUCAGGAAUUUGAACCUCUGAUCCCCUCACUGGUGGUGCUAUACGGAGAGAAAGUGAGGCCUUGCUGGAAGAUGUCACCAUGGCUUUGAGAGAUGACAGACUCGCCCUGCUUCCUCUGUGUUUUAUGUUUGUGUGUGUGAGAUGUGAUCUCUCAGAUGUGACCACCAUCAGCGAUGCUCUGGCUGCUAUGCCUCCAACCACGUCGCACUCUUUCCCUCCUGAACUGGAAGCCCAAAUAAACUCUUUCUCUCCUAAGUGUUUUUUGGUCAUGGUAUUUUUAUCACAGCAGCAGAGAAGCCUUCCAUGGUAGACCCAAAAUAAACCUUUUCUCUCCAGUUGUGUAUAUAUGACAAAACUGACUCACACAUCUGUGUUUUAUUAAUUAUUAAAAUAUAUCAAAAGUAAAUCAAAACAA
rnacentral:lncRNA from 1 species